rnacentral:lncRNA from 1 species
CAGAAAUGUUAUGAAACUAGUCUGUACUUACAGUGCAUUGAUUUGUAAACGAGAUGCAGGUCAAGACAAUUUAGAAUUAGCAGAAAAAGAAGUAGAUUUGAAUGGGUUAACAGAAGACAAAUCAGAUUUAAAUGAACAGUGUAACAAUGUAACAGAGAGAACAUUGUCAGAAAAAGUCUGUGAAUUAGAGGAUAGAGUUGAAUUAAGAAAUGAUCUUAUUUGCCAGCUUGGAAAUGAAGUUAAACUAGUGUGUGUUAAUACAAGAAAAAUACAGGCACAGAAUCUA